GGCACAGCAAGGGACUCCAGAGG
rnacentral:piRNA from 1 species